AAAUUUUAUUAGUCACAUGCGCCGAAUACAACAGGUAUUACAGUGAAAUGCUGACUUACGAGCCCCUAACCGACAAUGCAGUUUUAAAAAAUACAGAUAAGAUUAAGAGAUAAAAGUAACAAGUAAUUAAAGAGGAGCAGUAAAAAAUAACAUUAUAUACAGGCGGUGUGGAGGCUAUAUACAGGGUAUUACGGUACAGAGUCAAUGUGGAGGCUAUAUACAGGGGGUACUGGUACAGAGUCAAUGUGGAGACUAUAUACAGGGGGUACUGGUACAGAGUCAAUGUGGAGACUAUAUACAGGGGGUAACGGUACAGAGUCAAUGUGGAGGCUAUAUACAGGGGGUACCGGUACAGAGUCAAU
ensembl:lncRNA